GAUAAUGGCUCAGGACGAACGCUGGCGGCGCGCCUAACACAUGCAAGUCGAACGGUGAAGAGGAGCUUGCUCCUCGGAUCAGUGGCGGACGGGUGAGUAACACGUGAGCAACCUGGCUCUAAGAGGGGGGACAACAGUUGGAAACGACUGCUAAUACCGCAUGAUGUAUCGGGAUGGCAUCUUCCUGAUACCAAAGAUUUUAUCGCUUAGAGAUGGGCUCGCGU
rnacentral:rRNA from 1 species